AGUGAACGCUGGCGGUAGGCCUAACACAUGCAAGUCGAACGGCAGCACAGUAAGAGCUUGCUCUUACGGGUGGCGAGUGGCGGACGGGUGAGGAAUACAUCGGAAUCUACUUUUUCGUGGGGGAUAACGUAGGGAAACUUACGCUAAUACCGCAUACGACCUACGGGUGAAAGCAUGGGAUCUUCGGACCUUGCGCGAUUGAAUGAGCCGAUGUCGGAUUAGCUAGUUGGCGGGGUAAAGGCCAACCAAGGCGACGAUCCGUAGCCGGUGUGAGAGGAUGAUAGGCCACACUGGAACGUAGCCGCGCACCAGACGCCUGCGAGAGGGAGCAGUGUGGAAUAGUAGACAAUGGGGGGAAGCCUUGUCCAGUCGGACCACGUGGGAGAAGGAGGCCCUCGGUUUGUAAAGCCCGUUUUUGGGGAAAGAAAAGCAGUAGGUUAAUACCCCGCUGCUCUGACGGUAACCAAAGAAGAAGCACCGGCUAACUACGUG
rnacentral:rRNA from 1 species